rnacentral:lncRNA from 1 species
CUUCUCUGUGUCUUUAGAAAUAAAAGAAGAUGAUGGUAAAGGUUAUUUUAGUGCAGUUCCCAAAGAUAAGGACAGACAGUGCUUUAAACUACGCCAAGGAAUUGAUAAGAAGAUUGUCAUCUAUGUGCAGCAAACAACUAAUAAAGAACUUGCCAUUGAAAGGUAAGCAUUUUUAGUAAGUUUAGCUUAAAUAUAAAUUUUGGCUUUUAUCAAUCUAAUGGCAUAGUUUUACACUGUAUUAAAAAAUGUAUUUCCAAAGAAUUUUGUUCCCUAGGAAAUUAUUUUGUUUACUGAAGUCAGUGCUUCAUUACUUUGAAAUAGCUACUAUAAA